AUUUGAGUAGCUUAAUUUAGAGCACAAUAUUGAAGUUAUUGGGGUAAUGUUUAUAUUCUCAGAUA
rnacentral:tRNA from 1 species